AGCUGAGCAGAUUUCACCUCAACAGACAAAGCCGAUGGCAGAAGAUGUUUGGAGAAGAACUUCAGGCCGUGGACUGAAAAGUAGAUCAAAGCAGCUCGUGCUCUGUCUGCUUCCAUUCUGAUGGCAAGAAGAAGAAGAAGAAGACUUCAGCGAAGUGGCGUUCAUGGUCUCAGUGGACAGUCAUGGUCACACACUGCAUGUGGUUUUAAAAGCAACAUUGUUCACCACAACAAUGGAGAUGUGUAAUAUCAGUGCAGCUACGGUUUGUUCUUGAACAUCAGUUCUGUUUUCUACUUUGACCACUUAGACCAAAAAAGUGUUGUUUUCAGAUUCUUU